rnacentral:rRNA from 1 species
UACGGAGGGGGCAAGCGUUGUUCGGAAUUACUGGGCGUAAAGCGCGCGUAGGCGGACCUGCAAGUCGGGGGUGAAAGCCCGAGGCUCAACCUCGGAACUGCCUUCGAUACUGCGAGUCUCGAGUCCGGGAGAGGUGAGUGGAAUUCCUAGUGUAGAGGUGAAAUUCGUAGAUAUUAGGAAGAACACCAGUGGCGAAGGCGGCUCACUGGCCCGAUACUGACGCUGAGGUGCGAAAGCGUGGGGAGCAAACAGGG